AAGUCGUAACAAGGUUUCCGUAGGUGAACCUGCGGAAGGAUCAUUAUAGCAUGUGGAAGGGGGGUGGUGGAUGGAAUAUGCCAUUGCCCGCCCGCCAAUCAGCGCCGGGAGCGAGCCGCUGUGGCGGCGCGUGCCCGAGCCGGAGGGGGAUCUGAUGAAUAGUGCAUCUCGGAUGCGAUGGAGAUCUAUGCGAUGGAGAUCUAUCAGAUGGUCCGCACUGUCCAUCAGAUCCCUACAAUCAGCCCCAAUCUGUAUGUAUGUCGGACUGUGUCCAAUCAAUCAAAUGUAAUGUACAACUUUUAACAAUGGAUCUCUCGGCUCCU
rnacentral:misc_RNA from 1 species